rnacentral:rRNA from 1 species
UACGGAGGGUGCAAGCGUUAUCCGGAUUCACUGGGUUUAAAGGGUGCGUAGGUGGUCUGAUAAGUCAGCGGUGAAAGCCUGGAGCUCAACUCCAGAAUUGCCAUUGAUACUGUCGGACUUGAAUCAAGUUGAGGUGGAUGGAAUAUUACAUGUAGCGGUGAAAUGCUUAGAUAUGUAAUAGAACACCGAUUGCGAAGGCAGUUCACUAAGCUUGCAUUGACACUGAGGCACGAAAGCGUGGGGAUCAAACAGG